rnacentral:rRNA from 1 species
UACGUAGGGGGCAAGCGUUGUCCGGAUUUAUUGGGCGUAAAGAGCGUGUAGGCGGCCAGGUAGGUCCGUUGUGAAAACUCGAGGCUCAACCUCGAGACGCCGAUGGAAACCAUCUGGCUAGAGUCCGGAAGAGGAGAGUGGAAUUCCUGGUGUAGCGGUGAAAUGCGCAGAUAUCGGGAAGAACACCCGUGGCGAAGGCGGCUCUCUGGGACGGUACUGACGCUGAGACGCGAAAGCGUGGGGAGCGAACGGG